ensembl:misc_RNA Metazoa_SRP Metazoan signal recognition particle RNA
GCUGGGCGUGGCGGUGCGUGCCUGUAGUCUCAGCUAUUUGGGAGGCUGAGGCUGGAGGAUCUCUUGAGCCCAGGAGUUCUAGGCUGUAGUGCGCUAUGCCAAUCGGGUGUCCACAGUAAGUUCGACAUCAAUAUGGUGACCUCCCGGGAGUGGGGGACCACCAGGUUGCCUAAGGAGGGGUGAACCGGCUCAGGUUAGAAGCAGAGCAGGUCAAAACUCCCAUGCUAUUCAGUAGUGGGAUCGUGCCUGUGAAUAGCCACUGCACUCCAGCCUGGGCAACAUAGUGAGACCCCGUCUCUU